rnacentral:tRNA from 1 species
GGAGGGGUGGCAGAGCGGUUGAAUGCACCGGUCUUGAAAACCGGCGUAGGUUAAUAGCCUACCCAGGGUUCGAAUCCCUGCCCCUCCGCCA